rnacentral:lncRNA from 1 species
AGAAGCAAAAAGCUAGUAGCUAAAAUAGUAGGUCCGGCACCACCGGUGCCUGCAGUGUAGUAGUAGAAUCUGAAAAAUAUCUAAAACAUGUUAAAUUUGUAAAAUAUGUAUUAGGAAAAAAGCGUAAGACAAAUGUGGUGACAUAUAAAUGGAGCAAAGUCCAGGCUACUUGAUCAUCUUUCAAGAAAAUAGGUUAGCUCGUAGUUGAUUGGACGGGACUAACAUUGAAAAAAUUUCCUGCUCUAACAGUAAGCUUAAAUCAAUGUUUCUUGAUAAGAACUACUAAAAAGAUUUCCGCAGUGAGUUACCCAUUAGAUGUUUCAUUCUUAUUCUUCCUGCUAUAAUUCCAUGCCGAUUAAGCGUAUAGAUUUUAGUUUCCUUAUAUGGUCUUAGGUAAUUCUCACCACUUGACCUAACAUUUGGGGUUGAGUUAGGUCAAAGAUCCAUUUUCUUAUGAUAGUAUUAGAGAUCCACUCAUGAUGCUGUACUAUCCAAUAUUAGGCCAACCAUGUUAUGCCACACUCAAAAUGCCAGCCUCGGGCAUGCAAGAGGGUGUUAAAAUUCCACAUCGGUUAAAGUGCAUGGGCUAUAGUCUCCUUAUAUGUUUUCAUUACAAUUUGAGCUAGUAUCUAGCGUUUAGUUAGGUCUGAUGCCCAUUUUCUUAACUGUUCCAUAGCGCUAGAAAGAAGCAGUUAACGAAUGAAGAAGAUUCCUGUAAAAUGGAAUAUCAGCUAAUUAACUGUUCCGACAGAGGAAUCAUUUUGAGCCAUACAGAGAUUCCUGUCACAAAUUAAAGGCACUGCAAAAAGCUAUUACUAUUAAACAAGGACUUGCUACUGCACCAGCAAAUUCAGUAUUAUCCGGCUAGAUAAGAUUCGGACAGAGUUAAUUGGAAAAAUUCAAAACAUUUCCAUGUUGGUUGAUAGGCAGAGGGGUAAUUUCAAGAGAGCAUUAAGCAACAUUUUGUUGCAAAGAUGGAAAUUUAUUGAUAUACUAGGGUGGAUAAAAACUGCAAGAUACUCAAUGAUUUAAUAUCGUUCCAGAGCCUAUAUGUCAUCUAACAAAAGCUGUCUUUGGAAUAAUUGUUAGGAUAGACAAGUUCGUCCUUGAAUGAAUUAAUGUUCGUUCAAAUCUCUGAUCAAAACUUGACAAUAUAGUAAAAUGAAUAAAGCAGCCCUAAAAUGUACCGGGAAAGGGUUACCUAAGCCUCUCCAAUUCACCAUUGCUUUCAAGUUUCGCAGUGCGAACAAGCUCCGCUGCCAUCACUGUCAUUGUAGUAAAAAAAAUUGAGUUCAUUUGAUAAAGUAGCAAAUUUUAAUUUUCGACAUAUACACUUCCGCAUAAAACCCUAUAAAAGGGAUUGUAGAUGCAAUGCAGCAGACUAAUUGAAGAUAUAAUAGUGUCAGCUUGUUAAAGGCAAGUAAUCAGAUUGCAUAUGGAAACUAGAUAGAAACACUUCUUUCUCAAGUCCAUGCAACAGUAAAGCAGAUUCACAGGAAAUAAACGAAGUUUGAAAGACUAGAUAAAACAAGCCGAAAAAGGUGUUGGC